CCUACGGGGGGCAGCAGUGGGGAAUAUUGGACAAUGGGGGGAACCCUGAUCCAGCCAUGCCGCGUGUGUGAAGAAGGCCCUCGGGUUGUAAAGCACUUUCAGUGAGGAAGAACGCCUGGUGGUUAAUACCCAUCAGGAAAGACAUCACUCACAGAAGAAGCACCGGCUAACUCCGUGCCAGCAGCCGCGGUAAUACGGAGGGUGCGAGCGUUAAUCGGAAUUACUGGGCGUAAAGCGCGCGUAGGUGGCUUGAUAAGCCGGUUGUGAAAGCCCCGGGCUCAACCUGGGAACGGCAUCCGGAACUGUCCAGCUAGAGUGCAGGACAGGAAGGUAGAAUUCCCGGUGUAGCGGUGAAAUGCGUAGAGAGCGGGAGGAAUACCAGUGGCGAAGGCGGCCUUCUGGACUGACACUGACACUGAGGUGCGAAAGCGUGGGUAGCAAACAGGAUUAGAUACCCUAGUAGUC
rnacentral:rRNA from 1 species